rnacentral:rRNA from 1 species
GUGAGGAAUAUUGCGCAAUGGAGGCAACUCUGACGCAGCCAUGCCGCGUGCAGGAAGAAGGCGCUACGCGUUGUAAACUGCUUUUAACCGGGAAGAAACCCCAGGACGUGUCCUGGGUUGACGGUACCGGAGGAAUAAGCACCGGCUAACUUCGUGCCAGCAGCCGCGGUAAUACGAAGGGUGCAAGCGUUAUCCGGAUUCAUUGGUUUUAAAGGGUGCGUAGGCGGAGCGUUAAGUCAGUGGUGAAAUCCUGCAGCUUAACUGUAGACUUGCCAUUGAUACUGGCGCUCUUGAGUGCGCUUGAAGUGGGCGGAAUGUGCCGUGUAGCGGUGAAAUGCUUAGAUAUGGCACAGAACACCAAUUGCGAAGGCAGCUCACUAAGGCGAUACUGACGCUGAGGCACGAAAGCGUGGGGAUCGAACAGGAUUAGAUACCCCAGUAGUCC